rnacentral:misc_RNA from 1 species
GUAUUUGAUUAAAGGCACAAAGGCCAGUUAAUGACAUUCUGUUACAUUUUUAUGGGGUAUGUGAAAACAUAGACCGGAAAUGCAAGGAAAGCCGGCUUGCGCACAGCAGUCCUCAAACCGAGUUUCCUCGAGAGGUAUCCAGGUCUACAAAGGGUGCACAGGUGGUAAAAAUGGUGCUAGGCGUGCACAUGCUCCGAGGAGCCAGCAGCAACCCAACCAAGUUUAUUCAAUAAUGAUCCUUCCGCAGGUUCACCUACGGAAA